GCGGCGGGGCAGUGCCAAGAUGUCUACGCCGGCCGUGCCGGAGCUCAAGCAGAUCAGCCGGGUGGAGGCCAUGCGCCUGGGGCCGGGCUGGAGCCACUCGUGCCACGCCAUGCUGUACGCCGCCAACCCCGGGCAGCUCUUCGGCCGCAUCCCCAUGCGCUUCUCGGUGCUGAUGCAGAUGCGCUUCGACGGGCUGCUGGGCUUCCCCGGGGGCUUCGUGGACCGGCGCUUCUGGUCGCUGGAGGACGGCCUGAACCGGGUGCUGGGCCUGGGCCUGGGCUGCCUGCGCCUCACCGAGGCCGACUACCUGAGCUCGCACCUGACCGAGGGCCCGCACCGCGUCGUGGCGCACCUGUACGCGCGGCAGCUGACGCUGGAGCAGCUGCACGCCGUGGAGAUCAGCGCGGUGCACUCGCGCGACCACGGCCUGGAGGUGGGGCCGCCGCCCGGGCCCUGCCCCCCGCCCCGGGGUUUGGCUCUGGCCCCGCGGAAGGCAACGAUGGGUGCUGGGGCUCGUGCGGGUGCCCCUGUACACGCAGAAGGACCGCGUGGGCGGCCUGCCCAACUUCCUGAGCAACGCCUUCAUCAGCACGGCCAAGUACCAGCUCCUCUUCGCUCUCAAGGUGCUCAACAUGAUGCCCGAGGAGAAGCUGGCUGAGGCCUUGGCGGCCGCCACGGAGAAACAGAAGAAGGCCCUGGAGAAGCUGCUCCCCUCUUCCUCCUGAGCAGCCCGCAGGCAGCCCAGGGAGGGACUGGCAGCACUGGCCACGCACCAGAAUGACCACAGCAGAGCCACACAGGACAGGAAGGUCGCCACUUGGUCUCCUGUGGCCACAAAGACUCCUCAGUGGAGCUCAGAGUCCCCGGGGUGCCUGCCCGGCCUGGUAAGCAGUGCCCUCUGCCACCUCAGCCUCGAGGAGCCGGCGCGAGCAGGCAAAGCACUUUGCUCUGUAAAUAAAAUGCCUGGGACUGGC